GCCAGGCAUGGUGUCACACACCUGUAGUCCCAGCUACUUGGGAGGCUGAGGUGGGAGGAUUGCUUGAGCCCGGGAGAUCAAGGCUGCAGUGAGCUAUGAUCACACCACUGCACUCCUGCCUGGGCAACAAAGUGAGACCCUGCCUCAA
rnacentral:SRP_RNA from 1 species